rnacentral:lncRNA from 1 species
GGGAGGGAGGUUUGGGUUGGGAGGAAUGGGGAACCAGAGUGGGUCAGGGGGUUUAAGGGUGAGGGCAGGCUGCAAUGUCUGUGGAGAAAGAGCUUCCGUUACUGUUUUCACACCCGGGCUGGAAAGAAUGGAGGAAACAGCUUACAGAGCCGCGGGGACGCAGUAAGGCCGGGAUACCGGGCGCCCAUAGGAAGCCCCGCCCGGACCUAAGGCGAUCGUCACCGGAGUCACACUCCAAGAAGGCGCAAGUGCGAGAGAAAGAGAAGGUGUGGGUACCCUGGAAUGGACUCAUCGUGAUUGGGAAGAGAGUGGAACUCUUGGACAGAAACGUGCUAAAGUCUAACCCAAAGUUGGAAUCUGAAUACUGGAAGCUGGAGGGCACAGGGAAGAGGCUCUCAAAAGAGAAAUCGACGCUGCAGCAGGAGACAGUGGAGGUGAAGCUCCUGAACAGUGUAAGAAGGACGGUGCAGGCUCCAGUAGGUUUGGAGGAUGACAUCCCAGAGGAGGCUUGGAGAAAGCUGGAGGGCAGACUCAAAGCUGGUGUAUCU